rnacentral:lncRNA from 1 species
CGCGAAGAAGUACAACAAAGGGCCAACGGGGAGGUCCAACGGUCCGACCCCAGCCGGACUCGAGCUCACUCGGUUGCAGGCGUUAGGCUCCCAGCGGCUCUCAGCCGUUAAGUGGAGAAUGUUCAGGACUGUCGAGGCGCGCUCCGCACCUGGCCUGAAAGCGGGAGAUUUGGCAACCAGUGCGCGUGGGUGCGCCGGCCCUUGCAGCUGGGGACUCUGGAGGCAGACCUUGCCCAAAGCCAGAGGCAGGAACUCCCCAGAUCCUCCCAGGGUAGCAUGGGAGGAUGCCGCCUCCUCCAGGAAGCUCUCUAGCGCUUUUCCGAGUCCUGGAGCCAGGCGGGACUUCUCUGUGGUCGCCUAGAAGGGUAUGAACUUAGGGCAUCCCCAUCUGGGCUGUGAAGGUUUCUGACUUGGGGACCAGGUGCUCAGACCUUCCUGGAUGCUGCUUUCCACAAUAUCUCUACCAGGCAGGCAGGUUCUCUUCAUUUUGCAAAUUUGGUGAAACAGCAUUUGUAAAACUUUAGAAGCUUCCUUGGCUCACACAGGUGGUAGUGGCCCUGUCAGGAUUUGACCCAGGCUCUCGGAUUCCAGAGUUCCUGAAUUUAACCACCUGUACUGUGAUGCCUCCUUAUCAUGUGUGCAUCGUGCAUUACUAUUUUUUAUAGCCUGUAGGGUACUGAGCACCAUGCACACCUACAGUGAUCACAGGCACUGCCUACUGGAAGGUCUUCUUUGGCUGGGUUCCAGUUUCCUCAGACGAUGUAGGGCAGGGAGUUCCACUUGUUAGCAUAUCCCACAGGGCCUUUCUCUUCAAAUGGACCCCAGCAGCCAACCACACAGCUGCCUCAGCAAGCGUAGGAGAUGGCACAUCAGAGACCAACAAUUGUCAGCACAGCAAAACUGGGCAUUUCUUUUCUUACUGAGCUUUGCAGCUACCUACACAGUUGUGUGUGGCAUCUCCUCCUGGGUGCAAGGACAUGAGAUGACAUCAGUUACUGUGAUCUCCAGUAAAAUGUUUAAUACAAGUGGAGACAAUAGAUAACCUUUUCCAACUCCUGAUCGGGGGGUGGAAAGUGCUCAGUGUGCUAUUAACUUAAGGCUUUUAUAGAUGUGCUUUAUCAUGUAAAGGCUGUUCCCUCCAAUUCUUUCUAUACUGAGAAAUUUUUUCAAAGAGGUGUUAAAUUUUUUCAACCCAUGUCACAAAUCUGCAUAUGUACUCCCCUAAACCUAAAAUAAAAGUUGGAAAGAAAAAUAAAACUAUUACUUGAAACCCAUGUUGUCAUAGAAAAGAUGUUUUUAUAAAUUAAGUAAUGAUUGCUUGUGAACUAUUGUGUCUGGAGUCAAAGGUGUAUUAAAAUUAAUCUCAGAACUCUUGCCAUAACUACAAAAACAAAUAUGCCAGGCCACAAAAAAAUACAUGUUAAAAAGUUUUGUGCAUCAAAAGACACUAUC